rnacentral:rRNA from 1 species
GAACCUGAAACCGUGUACGUACAAGCAGUAGGAGCACCUUCGUGGUGUGACUGCGUACCUUUUGUAUAAUGGGUCAGCGACUUAUAUUCAGUGGCAAGGUUAACCAUCUAGGGGAGCCGUAGGGAAACCGAGUCUUAACUGGGCGUUCAGUCUCUGGAUAUAGACCCGAAACCAGGUGAUCUAGCCAUGGGCAGGUUGAAGGUUGAGUAACAUCAACUGGAGGACCGAACCGACUAAUGUUGAAAAAUUAGCGGAUGACUUGUGGCUAGGGGUGAAAGGCCAAUCAAACCUGGAGAUAGCUGGUUCUCCCCGAAAGCUAUUUAGGUAGCGCCUCGGACGAAUACUACUGGGGGUAGAGCACUGUUAAGGCUAGGGGGUCAUCCCGACUUACCAACCCUUUGCAAACUCCGAAUACCAGUAAGUACUAUCCGGGAGACACACGGCGGGUGCUAACGUCCGUCGUGGAGAGGGAAACAACCCAGACCGCCAGCUAAGGUCCCAAAUUACUACUAAGUGGGAAACGAUGUGGGAAGGCUCAGACAGCCAGGAUGUUGGCUUAGAAGCAGCCAUCAUUUAAAGAAAGCGUAAUAGCUCACUGGUCGAGUCGGCCUGCGCGGAAGAUGUAACGGGGCUAAGUAGUAAACCGAAGCUGCGGCAAUAUACUUUUGUAUAUUGGGUAGGGGAGCGUUCUGUAAGCGGUUGAAGGUGUGUGGUAACGCAUGCUGGACGUAUCAGAAGUGCGAAUGCUGACAUGAGUAACGAUAAAGGGGGUGAAAAACCUCCUCGCCGGAAGACCAAGGGUUCCUGUCCAACGUUAAUCGGGGCAGGGUAAGUCGACCCCUAAGGCGAGGCCGAAAGGCGUAGUCGAUGGGAAACGGGUUAAUAUUCCCGUACUUCUUACAAUUGCGAUGGGGGGACGGAGAAGGCUAGGUGGGCCUGGCGACGGUUGUCCAGGUUCAAGUGCGUAGGCUUAAGAGUUAGGUAAAUCCGGCUCUUUUUAAGGCUGAGACACGACGUCGAGCACCUACGGGUGUGAAGUCAUUGAUGCCAUGCUUCCAGGAAAAGCCUCUAAGCUUCAGAUUGUAAGGAAUCGUACCCCAAACCGACACAGGUGGUCGGGUAGAGAAUACCAAGGCGCUUGAGAGAACUCGGGUGAAGGAACUAGGCAAAAUGGUACCGUAACUUCGGGAGAAGGUACGCUCUUGAUGGUGAAGUCCCUUGCGGAUGGAGCUGACGAGAGUCGCAGAUACCAGGUGGCUGCAACUGUUUAUUAAAAACACAGCACUGUGCAAAAUCGUAAGAUGACGUAUACGGUGUGACGCCUGCCCGGUGCCGGAAGGUUAAUUGAUGGGGUUAGACUUCGGUCGAAGCUCUUGAUCGAAGCCCCGGUAAACGGCGGCCGUAACUAUAACGGUCCUAAGGUAGCGAAAUUCCUUGUCGGGUAAGUUCCGACCUGCACGAAUGGCGUAAUGAUGGCCACGCUGUCUCCACCCGAGACUCAGUGAAAUUGAAAUCGCUGUGAAGAUGCAGUGUACCCGCGGCUAGACGGAAAGACCCCGUGAACCUUUACUACAGCUUGGCACUGAACAUUGACCCUACAUGUGUAGGAUAGGUGGGAGGCUUUGAAGCACGUACGCCAGUAUGUGUGGAGCCGUCCUUGAAAUACCACCCUUGUAGUGUUGAUGUUCUAACGUUGACCCCUUAUCGGGGUUGCGGACAGUGCCUGGUGGGUAGUUUGACUGGGGCGGUCUCCUCCCAAAGAGUAACGGAGGAGCACGAAGGUGGGCUAAUCACGGUUGGACAUCGUGAGGUUAGUGCAAUGGCAUAAGCCCGCUUGACUGCGAGAAUGACAAUUCGAGCAGGUGCGAAAGCAGGUCAUAGUGAUCCGGUGGUUCUGAAUGGAAGGGCCAUCGCUCAACGGAUAAAAGGUACUCCGGGGAUAACAGGCUGAUACCGCCCAAGAGUUCAUAUCGACGGCGGUGUUUGGCACCUCGAUGUCGGCUCAUCACAUCCUGGGGCUGAAGUCGGUCCCAAGGGUAUGGCUGUUCGCCAUUUAAAGUGGUACGCGAGCUGGGUUUAGAACGUCGUGAGACAGUUCGGUCCCUAUCUGCCGUGGGCGUUGGAAGAUUGAAGGGGGCUGCUCCUAGUACGAGAGGACCGGAGUGGACGAACCUCUGGUGUUCGGGUUGUGUCGCCAGACGCAUUGCCCGGUAGCUAAGUUCGGAAUCGAUAACCGCUGAAAGCAUCUAAGCGGGAAGCGAGCCCUGAGAUGAGUCUUCCCUGAUACUUUAAGUAUCCUAAAGGGUUGUCGGAGACUACGACGUUGAUAGGUCAGGUGUGUAAGUGCUGUGAGGCAUUGAGCUAACUGAUACUAAUUGCCCGUGAGGCUUAACCAUACAACACCCAAGGGGUUU